GAAGGAGGUGGCGUUGCCUAUCUGCAGUCGAGCGAACUGAUUAGAAGCUUGCUUCUAUGACGUUAGCGGCGGACGGGUGAGUAACACGUGGGCAACCUGCCUGUAAGACUGGGAUAACUUCGGGAAACCGAAGCUAAUACCGGAUAGGAUCUUCUCCUUCAUGGGAGAUGAUUGAAAGAUGGUUUCGGCUAUCACUUACAGAUGGGCCCGCGGUGCAUUAGCUAGUUGGUGAGGUAACGGCUCACCAAGGCAACGAUGCAUAGCCGACCUGAGAGGGUGAUCGGCCACACUGGGACUGAGACACGGCCCAGACUCCUACGGGAGGCAGCAGUAGGGAAUCUUCCGCAAUGGACGAAAGUCUGACGGAGCAACGCCGCGUGAGUGAUGAAGGCUUUCGGGUCGUAAAACUCUGUUGUUAGGGAAGAACAAGUACGAGAGUAACUGCUCGUACCUUGACGGUACCUAACCAGAAAGCCACGGCUAACUACGUGCCAGCAGCCGCGGUAAUACGUAGGUGGCAAGCGUUAUCCGGAAUUAUUGGGCGUAAAGCGCGCGCAGGCGGUUUCUUAAGUCUGAUGUGAAAGCCCACGGCUCAACCGUGGAGGGCAUUGGAAACUGUUGAACUUGAGUGCAGAAGAGAAAAAGCGGAAUUCCCCGUGUAGCGUUGAAAUGUGUAUAUACGUGUAGUAUCCCCAGU
rnacentral:rRNA from 1 species